rnacentral:misc_RNA from 1 species
GAUGAAGAACGUAGCGAAAUGCGAUACUUGGUGUGAAUUGCAGAAUCCCGUGAACCAUCGAGUCUUUGAACGCAAGUUGCGCCCGAAGCCAUUAGGCCGAGGGCACGCCUGCCUGGGCGUCACACGUCGUUGCCCCCCCAUCUACUCCUUCGGGAUUGCGGGGGGCGGAUGAUGGCCUCCCGUGCGCCUCGUCGCGCGGUUGGCAUAAAUGCCAAGUCCUCGGCGACGCACGCCACGACAAUCGGUGGUUGCGAAACCUCGGUUGCCCGUCGUGUGCGGUCGUCGCGCAUCGAGGGCUCGAAAAAAUUGUCAGGCUCCGGCUCGGCUUUCAACGCGACCCCAGGUCAGGCGGGGUUACCCGCUGAAUUUAAGCAUAUCAAUAAGCGGAGGA